rnacentral:rRNA from 1 species
UGGGGAAUAUUGCACAAUGGGGGAAACCCUGAUGCAGCGACGCCGCGUGAGCGAAGAAGGUUUUCGAAUCGUAAAGCUCUGUCCUAUGGGAAGAUAAUGACGGUACCAUAGGAGGAAGCCCCGGCUAACUACGUGCCAGCAGCCGCGGUAAUACGUAGGGGGCAAGCGUUGUCCGGAAUCACUGGGCGUAAAGGGUUCGCAGGCGGAAAUGCAAGUCAGUUGUGAAAGGCAGAGGCUCAACCUCUGUAAGCAAUUGAAACUGUAUUUCUUGAGAUGUGGAGAGGCAAGUGGAACUCCUAGUGUAGCGGUGAAAUGCGUAGAUAUUAGGAAGAAUACCGGUGGCGAAGGCGACUUGCUGGACACAAACUGACGCUGAGGAACGAAAGCGUGGGUAGCAAACAGG